rnacentral:tRNA from 1 species
AAUGGACUUUGCUCCUCCUUAGA